rnacentral:rRNA from 1 species
GACGAACGCUGGCGGCGUGCUUAACACAUGCAAGUCGAGCGGAGCGGCGCACGGGUGAGUAACGCGUGAGUAACUGCCCCCCUCUCUGGGCUAACAGUUGGAAACGGCUGCUAAUACCGGAUAGUGGGGGAUGACUCGCGUCCUAUCAGCUUGUUGGUGGGGUAGUGGCCUACCAAGGCGACGACGGGUAGACGGCCUGAGAGGGCGACCGGCCACAUUGGUCUGAGAUACGGCCCAAACUCCUACGGGAGGCAGCAGUGGGGAAUAUUGCACAAUGGGGGAAACCCUGAUGCAGCAACGCGCGUGCGGGAUGAGGGCCUUCGGGUUGUAAAGCACUUUAAGUUGGGAGGCAGUAAGUUAAUACCUUGCUGUUUUGACGUUACCAACAGAAUAAGCACCGGCUAACUUCGUGCCAGCAGCCGCGGUAAUUC